UAUGAAAUAUCUUCCAGUGGACAAGUGGUGGAAAUGAAGUUGACCGGCUGGUUUUGUGCACGCCGGUUAAUGCUAAUCUCCAAUCAAAUCUGUUUUCGCUUUCCAAAUGCUAAUUCAUCUGUGGAACGCCCCUCGGGCUAAGCAUCGCCCCCACUUUACAUGGAGGAAACCAGGAGACGAGGCCACACAGCAUAUCAAUGUCCAAUUUGGGAUCAGGAUGUGAGGCUUUCAUGGUUCUCCACUUAACUCUCAGACCAUCCCAUUGAACUUUAUUAUCUGCCACGGCCUCUCCCUUGCAAUGCGUCUUGUAAUUGGGGUUAAAAAAUAAAGGCAGAGCUAGAAA